ACUCCCAGGCCCCACUCGAUCUUACGCUUUUGUGUUUUUUACCGCCUCGCUUUGUGCUGCAAAGUUCGUAUGUUCACAGAAGAAUGGCAGCUUGAAAAUAGUAUUUAAUGAAAAAAUAAGCGGAUUCAAAUGGGCUGAAGUUUUUGAGGAAACAUUUGUCUGAAGUACGAGCCGAUGGAAAUUCCCGCCCGUGGCAGCAGCAGCAGCUAAAAAGAAGACUAAGAGGAGAGGCUCUACACUACCAUUCUAUAUUCAUUCACGUCUAUAUCUAUGUAAGGAGAUCCUGAGAGGAAAAGGCCUUGGAUUGAUGUCUGUUUUCAGCUAUAAAAAUCAUCCACUUGUGUGGACGAAUUCCUUGCUAGCAGAAAGAUCACGGUUUACAACAAAAAGCGAACACAGCCACUAGGCGACAAACAUAAAGCGACAAAAAAACACUGCCAAGGUUAAACCAACCAAGGACUACCCGAGGGUCAUGCUUGAUGCUAAAGGCUGGAGGACAUAAGAAUAGGCAAAUGUAGCCGAGCUUUCUUACUUUGAUACAGCAGUAUAAGUGUAAUAGGGUUUUUAGAGCAAGAUACUUUUGUGUCAAUGAUACUGUAAAUCUGUAAAACAUUUUUUUAUCAACCUGAAGAUAAUGAGGAAAGGGGAAAUGAUAGGAGAGUGCUCAAUCAAGUUGUUGCAAUACUGUUAAAGUUAUUAUCAAAAAUAUAGUCCCAGUUUCUUUUUUCUCUCUCUAUUGACUAUUUUUAUAUGCAAUUGAUAAUUAUUUGCUGUUUCCCCUCUGCACCCUGAAUAAAUUAAAAAUAGGUUAGGUUUGAAAUUAGACAUUUUCAUUUGGCACUGAUCAGUAAUAUCAAGGAUUUGUUUUUAAUUUGCUUCCCAAGUCAAUUUGUUCUCCUCCAUUUGAUUGCAUUUACUUUUGUAGUAGAAUUAGCAUAUGUGGAUCCAGCUGCAGGGUUUCUAUAAAAUAAAAAUAAAAACAGCAGGCCACCAUGCUAAAGGGUGGGUUCACCAAUAUGUAAUGCAUGACUGAGGUAUAUUUGUGGAUUUUAAUUUCCUUGGUGAUGGAGUAUCACUAGUAAGUGGCACCUGAAGUGUAUCUAGCUAUAUCAUUCUAUAUUUGGAAUGCUGUUUCAUCCAUUAUUUGUUUUUUUGCAAGGGCAAAGCCGGUCGGAAUGCACCUAGUGAUAGUGUAUUAGUGUACAUGAAUGGAACUUCUAUAUAAGGGGUUUUUAUUAGGGCAAGGUACUUACUUAAUAAAUUAUAUAAAGAAUAACAAACUUGUGCUUUUCAAUAAUAAAUCUAUAAAGAAAACAGUUUUAUAUCAAACUAAAGGUAAUAGGAAAAGGUGAAAAUGUUAGGAAAGUGCUCAGUCAAGCUAUUAUUGCAUUUUUGUCAUAUAUUUUUUUAAAGUAAAUUCACAUUUUU